CGGAGGCUACCGCUAUUGGAGUUCGAUUAAGCCAUGCGAGUCGAGAGUCCUCGGGACUCGGCGUACCGCUCAGUAACACGUGGGUAACCUGCCCUAUGCUGGGGAAUAACCUCGGGAAACUGAGAAUAAUGCCCCAUAGCCCACUACGCCUGGAACGGUGAGUGGGUCAAAGCCCCGGCGGCAUAGGAUGGGCCUGCGCCGUAUCAGGUCGUAGGGGGUGUAAAGUACCCUCUAGCCAUCAACGCGUACGGGUGUUGGGAGACAUUGCCCGGAGAUGGAUUCUGAGACACGAAUCCAGACCCUACGGGGUGCAGCAGGCGCGAAAACUUGGCAAUGCGAGCAAUCGUGACCAGGGAACUCCAAGUGCGUAGGGUAAGACCUACGCUUUUCUUGACUCUUCAAAGGUCUUGGAAUAAGGGGUGGGUAAGGACGGUGCCAGCCGCCGCGGUAAUACCGGCGCCUCAAGUGGUAGUCGCUUUUAUUGGGCCUAAAACGUCCGUAGCCGGUCUGGUGCAUUCGUGGGUAAAUCAACCCGCUCAACGGGUUGAAUUCUGCGAGCACGGCCAGACUUGGGACCGGGAGAGGUGUGGGGUACUCUCAGGGUAGGGGUAAAAUCCUGUCAUCCUGAGAGGACCACCUGUUGCGAAGGCGCCACACUAGAACGGAUCCGACGGUCAGGGACGAAACCUAGGGGCACGAACCGGAUUAGAUACCCGGGUAGUCCUAGGUGUAAACGCUGUGGACUUGAUGUUGGGGGCGCUCCGAGCGCUCUCAGUGUCGAAGCGAAGGUGAUAGUCACUGCCUGGGGAGUACGGUCGCAAGGCUGAAACUUAAGAUUGGCGGGG
rnacentral:rRNA from 1 species